UGCUUUACUGCAGAACGGUCCUGCUUCAAAGUCGGAUGUGCAGGUUAGAGGUCAAAUUAUUUCUUGGCAAUAAGAUAUGAGCAUAAAAAUUUAAAAUGGUGAAACCCAAGUUAUCCAAAAUGAUGACUACAAAUUGCGCAUUAGUGCUUUUAUGUAUCCUGUUUUUAAAUUACAGUGAGUGUAAUGUUACCUUAAGCUACGCUGAUUUUUUUAAAAAUCUGUCAAAAUCACAACCUAGUAAUACCCAAAAGGCCUACAUCAUCCGAGUGAAUUGUAAACAAGGAUACAAAAUGAUACAUGGAAAAUGUCGACAGAUCUUUUAUUAGAGCUGAUUUCAGAUUACAACAAAAACAAAAAGUAAUUGACCUGAAAGUAACUAUGAUACAAUUACCAUUUCAAAAGAAAUUGGUACCUACCUAAGUAGGUAAAUACCUAGAAAUGUGACUGAAAAAGUGUUGGAAGUCAAAGAUGUUUGUCAAUGCAAUUAAAUCCUAUUAAUGCAGGUAAAAUUAUUUAAAGUUAUUGUGGAACAUUACAAAACGUACAAAAUGUUUAUAAAGGUGAAGUUUCAGAAGGUUUAUAACCAGAUGCAGAUUAAUAAGAUGACCUUAAUGUUAUUGAAAAUAGACCAUUUGACCAAAAUUAGUGUCGAAUGGGAGAAGAAAUAAGAUAUGCAAUUUUUUCAGCAAUAUUUUAAUGUAUAACUUAAUAAAUAAAAAUGUUUAAUUGGAAAA